rnacentral:rRNA from 1 species
GAUGAACGCUAGCGGCAGGCCUAACACAUGCAAGUCGAGGGGUAACAGGGGAAAGCUUGCUUUCCCGCUGACGACCGGCGAACGGGUGCGUAACACGUAUGUAAUCUGCCUCUUACAGGGGGAUAGCCCAGAGAAAUCUGGAUUAAUACCCCAUAAUAUCAUUGGAUCGCCUGAUUUGAUGAUUAAAGAAUUUCGGUAAGAGAUGAGCAUGCGUCCGAUUAGCUAGUUGGUGAGGUAACGGCUCACCAAGGCUACGAUCGGUAGGGGUUCUGAGAGGAUGAUCCCCCACACUGGUACUGAGACACGGACCAGACUCCUACGGGAGGCAGCAGUGAGGAAUAUUGGGCAAUGGACGCAAGUCUGACCCAGCCAUGCCGCGUGCAGGAUGACUGCCCUAUGGGUUGUAAACUGCUUUUAUACGAGAAGAAACCCCCCAACGUGUUGGGGGCUGACGGUAUCGUAUGAAUAAGCACCGGCUAACUCCGUG